rnacentral:rRNA from 1 species
ACUACGGGAGGCAGCAGUGAGGAAUAUUGGUCAAUGGUCGGGAGACUGAACCAGCCAAGCCGCGUGAGGGAUGAAGGUACAGAGUAUCGUAAACCUCUUUUGUCAGGGAACAAAGGCGGGGACGUGUCCCCGGAUGAGUGUACCUGAAGAAAAAGCAUCGGCUAACUCCGUGCCAGUAGCCGCGGUAAUACGGAGGAUGGGAGGGUUAUCCGGAUUUAUUGGGUUAAAAGGGUGCGCAGGCGGUCGGUUAAGUAAGCGGCCAAAGCCCGGGGCUCAACCCCGGCCCGCCGUUGAAACUGGCAGUCUCGAGUUGGAGAGAAGUAUGCGGAAUGCGCGGUGUAGCGGUGAAAUGCAUAGAUAUCGCGCAGAACUCCGAUUGCGAAGGCAGCAUGCCGGCUCCACACUGACGCUGAGGCACGAAAGCGUGGGUAUCGAACAGGAUUAGAUACCCGGGUAGUC